UACGUAGGGACCGAGCGUUGUCCGGAAUCAUUGGGCGUAAAGAGCGUGUAGGCGGCCACUUAAGUCCUGCGUGAAAUCUUGCGGCUCAACCGCAAGCGGUCGUGGGAAACUGGGUGGCUAGAGUGCGGGAGAGGAGAGUGGAAUUCCUGGUGUAGCGGUGGAAUGCGCAGAUAUCAGGAGGAACACCAAUAGCGAAGGCAGCUCGCUGGGACGGUAUUGACGCUAAGGCGCGAAAGCGUGGGGAGCAAACGGG
rnacentral:rRNA from 1 species